CAGCCGCCGCGGUAAUACAGAGGGUGCGAGCGUUAAUUGGAUUUACUGGGCGUAAAGCGUGCGUAGGCGGCUUCUUAAGUCGGAUGUGAAAUCCCUGAGCUUAACUUAGGAAUUGCAUUCGAUACUGGGAAGCUAGAGUAUGGGAGAGGAUGGUAGAAUUCCAGGUGUAGCGGUGAAAUGCGUAGAGAUCUGGAGGAAUACCGAUGGCGAAGGCAGCCAUCUGGCCUAAUACUGACGCUGAGGUACGAAAGCAUGGGGAGCAAACAGGAUUAGAUACCCCUGUAGUCCCUGUCUCUUAUAC
rnacentral:rRNA from 1 species